UCGUAGGGGCAUCAGGCUGCAACAGGAGAGGAGGCCCCUCCAGCGGGAGAGAUGGGGCUGCAGAAGACGCCCUCCCCAGAGAGCUCAGAGCUAAGCUCCAGAUCGAUACCAGCGCUGAGACUUCGGCUGCGCUUACCUCUUUCCGAUAACAAGGACCGGGAGAGGACUAUCAAGAAACACAUGUAAUCUGCAGCAACACCAGCCAUACGGGAAUCCCACUGCCGGCCUCCAAUUGCGGCAUAAUUCAUUUCACAGCGUAUGAGGAAAGUUGAGUUAUUGGGACAUGUGACGUUUAUUUAGUUACACGUCUCCGGUGGGAGUUUUCAGGGGCCAUUAAUGCAGGGUAUUUGCAUGGCUAGUUUACAUGCCUUGGCUUGUUAUUGGUGUCUAUAUUCUUCCUGCUCCUCACUCUCCAUUCCCAUUCAAAGUUUGGCAGCCGAGGUGUCAGGGCUAAAAAAUGGAAGGACCUCCCUCCGAAAUGAAAUAAUUUUGUUGUUCAGUUCCGAGCGAUUUUGUAAUUUCAUGCUUGUGUAUGAUAAUUUUAUGCUGUCCUGCUCCACGUAACUCAGCGGUGCCAAAGCCUGACAGGUGAUAAAUACAAUCUUUUCCGCCAGGCGUGCGACAGGCCAGUGUGAGGGGGAGAGGAGGGAGAAAGGGACAAUUCUGCACCUCGGUCUCAGCACCUCUGGCAUGCCACCCCAGAGCCUUUUCUCCCUCCAUUUCAUGCCUCAGAGCAGAGCAGCUCUUCCUCCUCCUCCUCCUUGCUGCAGGGCAGGGACAGGGGGCUGGUUGUGUGUCACCCUAGAAGCUGCCCUAAAGUGCGCACAGCUGGAACCAAGACCCCAGAUGUGGUGCAGCGUGGAAUGGGAAGUGAUGUGAUUCUUUCCCCUCCCUCUCUCUGGGCGCCAUGAUUUAGAGGAGCCUCUUCCUAAUGGAAUUCAGCAGAACUGUAACCUUUCAGAGAAAUUAUUUUUACAAAUCUGUUAAACAUUUGAAAGGCAGCACAUUCCAAUAAAAGGACAGGAUUUCUUAA